GUGCUCACUUUGGCAGCACAAAUACUAAAAAUUUGAACGAUACAGAGAAGAUUAGUGUGGCCCCUGCACAAGGAUGACACGCAAAUUCGUGAAGUGGUCCAUAUUUUA
rnacentral:snRNA from 1 species